GGUGAGAUGGCCGAGUGGUUAUGGCGGAAGGUUCAAGUCAUUCUUGGCUCAUGAUAAACAUGAGUUGGCUUUCUUCUGGAGCAAUCCGCAGGGGUUCGAAUCCCCUUCUCAUCA